UGUAAACUAUACGCACUGGUACCCUGGUCGCAAAACGUCGCGCCUCAAAGCGAUGCAGAUUGUGUGGCCAUGGUGAUGGCCCAUGGUGGACAAUGGAACGAUGUGCAUUGUAGUGGACUAAACGCCAAAUAUAUAGGAAACGUUUGUGAAUUCGUUUGCAGAUGAAGUAGCAAUAACUAGCAAUCCAGAGUUCCCAGUUUCGAUGAACACUGAUGAUAGGUAUCGCAAAUCGCAGGUUCUUUGCUGAGUUUGAAUAUGUGCGUAUUUAACAUAUUUUUAAUAUAUUGUUCGGUUUUCUUGUGUAUAAUAUUCCAAAUAAUACUGUCACACUUAGGCAACACGACGCUCUGUCCUAGAAAAGCGUCUUCAAUCGUUGCACAAUUCGGUAAAAGCUGUUACGAUUUGUACCGCGACGUCGAGGUUUGGAGUCACGCUGAGCAGACCUGUAGACUGAGUGGAGGUCAUCUUGUUCACAUCAACGACGCACAAGAACAGCAGUACAUAGCGUUGUUCAUGAGGAGACAUAACCAAACAACACCUGCUUGGAUUGGACUCAGUGACAGAUCUGUUCAAGGGCAGUUUGUUUGGACUGAUGGUGUGUUGGCAUCCUACACAAACUGAUUGUCUGGACACGUGCCGCACGGAAGUGCCGAGGACUGUGUGGCGCUGCUGCCAAAGCACAAUGGAGCCUGGGAGGAUUUCAGCUGUGGAGAAGCUGUGAAUCACAUCGACGUCGGCGAACAACACCAACCCUUGUGCGAAAAUGUAUAUACCAUUGCGUCUGUACUGGUUGACUGAGAGACAACUAUCAAGUCUCAUAAUUUCAAAAGUUUUGGUGCUUGGAAUGAAUAUAAUAAAUAUACAUGUGUAUGAUAUAAUCAAA